rnacentral:rRNA from 1 species
UACGUAGGGUCCGAGCGUUUGUCCGGAAUUACUGGGCGUAAAGAGCUCGUAGGUGGUUUGUCGCGUUGUUCGUGAAAACUCACAGCUUAACUGGGGGCGUGCGGGCGAUACGGGCAGACUGGAGUACUGCAGGGGAGACUGGAAUUCCUGGUGUAGCGGUGGAAUGCGCAGAUAUCAGGAGGAACACCGGUGGCGAAGGCGGGUCUCUGGGCAGUAACUGACGC